rnacentral:rRNA from 1 species
UACGUAGGGGGCAAGCGUUGUCCGGAAUUAUUGGGCGUAAAGCGCGCGCAGGCGGCCUAUUAAGUCUGAUGUGAAAGCCCACGGCUCAACCGUGGAGGGCCAUUGGAAACUGGUAGGCUUGAGUGCAGGAGAGGAGAGCGGAAUUCCCGGUGUAGCGGUGAAAUGCGUAGAUAUCGUUUGGAACGCCGAUGGUGAAAACAGGUCGCUGGGGCUGUGCUGACGCUGAGACACGAAAGCCAGGGGAGCGAACGGG